rnacentral:rRNA from 1 species
AGUCGAGCGAGGUAGCAAUACCUAGCGGCAGACGGGUGAGUAACAUGUGGGAAUCUGCCUUUUGGUUCGGAACAACACGGGGAAACCUGUGCUAAUACCGGAUAAGCCUUCACAGGGAAAGUUUUAAUGCCAAAAGAUGAGCCCGCACUUGAUUAGCUAGUUGGUAAGGUAAUAGCUUACCAAGGCAACGAUCAAUAGCUGUUCUUAGAGGAAGACCAGCCACAUUGGGACUGAGACACGGCCCAGACUCC